UCUUGGUUAUGUUGGGUGUUCCGUAAACAAAAGCCGCCAAGGGCCAAGCAGUAGCAGUCCUUGGUAUUUGGUAUGCCUACAGUCCUUACCCAUGCUGCAGCCCGAUAGACGUUCGUAGAUUUGUUCCUGACGAUAAGUAUUUAACCAGGUUCACGUUUGAAUCGGUUUUUUGUGAAACGUUGAAAUGGGAAGGCGCAAAAGUAAACGGAAACCACCGCCGAAAAGGAAAGCAAUUGAGCCACUAGAUAUUCUAUUUAAUUGCCCCUUUUGCAAUCAUGAAAAAUCGUGUGAAGUUAAAAUGGACAAAGCUCGGAAUUCAGCCAAAAUAACCUGUAGAGUUUGCAUGGAAGACUUUCAAACCACAAUAAAUUUUCUGUCUGAGCCGAUUGAUGUUUACAACGAUUGGGUCGACGCUUGUGAAGCAGCUAAUUGAAUGUUUGGUUACGAAUUGCUCACAUACAGGUAUGCCAGCUCGCAAGUAGUACCUUGUACCAAGUACCUUGGUGGGACGCCGCGGGCUGCUGCACGUGGCGCACCAUGUAACAUCGUAUGCAAGCCAGCUAAUGAAGGAUUACAUCUGUCUUAACGAAAAUAUGCUCCAGAUAACAUCUCCUAUCGACGCUAUUAUCGUUUUUUUUUUUACAGACUUGAUUAAAGCAUAGAAAGCAAGGAAUCUACUAUAGUAGCAAUCCAUCAGUGAUCUUGAAAACAUACAUUGACACCUCUCAUCUCGAGACUUUAACUUCGCUUUUGCCAAGAGAAUUACCAUCAAAAUACCGAGUGAAAAUAAUCCUCCAGCCUAAAUUCUGUAAUGUAAAAAUCCUGAUUAAAAAACAUAGUUUUACUUCUUGUCAGAUCAUAUUGAGUUUCAGCUGCUUGUCAACACAUGGAAUUUUUGUAAAAAAAAAAAUUGGCUCAAAUUUUAUCGGUACGAGAUUUUUCGUACUUCCUGUGGUUAAUGGAAAUGAGCCUCCCAACCACAAAGUCUGCUAUUUGUUUUUGGGUCUUUUAUUUUCUUUCUGGAAUGUUUGAAUAAGUUUCUGUACAGCCGGACAGCAACUACUUAAAGUUCGUUUAUAUUAGUGAACUCCAGAUCUUAUUCAUCACAAGUUAUUAUCUUUUCUCACUGACCCUAAGUUUCCUGCACCGUUGCCCACUUCCUCAUCGCAAGAUUUAGGAAAGACAGGAUUUUUAACGCAUUGAAUUUAGGUGCGUGUGAUUUUUGCCGCGGGCUCAUGUGAGCACACUUUACGAAGGCUUGCAGUAAUCCAAAUCUGUUACUUCUCAUGACAGACUCAAGGGUUACCUUUAACUUGAAUGUAACUUAAUUUAAUUCAUGUAAAUGCUUCAUUUUGAGAUAUGUGACACAAAAUUGAAAAUGAUUGUAUCGAUCUAUGUAUAUUUAAAUCUUUUUAAUUAAAUGAUAUGCAAGACUA